GACGAACGCUGGCGGCGUGCUUAACACAUGCCAGUCGAACGGACAGGCCCUGCUUUUGUGGGGUGCUCGAGUGGCGAACGGGUGAGUAACACGUGAGUAACCUGCCCUUGACUUUGGGAUAACUUCAGGAAACUGGGGCUAAUACCGGAUAGGAGCUCCUGCUGCAUGGUGGGGGUUGGAAAGUUUCGGCGGUUGGGGAUGGACUCGCGGCUUAUCAGCUUGUUGGUGGGGUAGUGGCUUACCAAGGCUUUGACGGGUAGCCGGCCUGAGAGGGUGACCGGCCACAUUGGGACUGAGGUACGGCCCAGAAUCCUACGGGAGGCAGCAGUGGGGAAUAUUGCACAAUGGGCCGGAGCCUGAUGCAGCAACGCCGCGUGCGGGAUGACGGCCUUCGGGUUGUAAACCGCUUUCGCCUGUGACGAAGCGUGAGUGACGGUAAUGGGUAAAGAAGCACCGGCUAACUACGUG
rnacentral:rRNA from 1 species